rnacentral:misc_RNA from 1 species
GAUGAAGAACGCAGCGAAAUGCGAUAAGUAAUGUGAAUUGCAGAAUUCAGUGAAUCAUCGAAUCUUUGAACGCACAUUGCGCCCCUUGGUAUUCCGAGGGGCAUGCCUGUUCGAGCGUCAUUACAACCCUCAAGCUCAGCUUGGUGUUGGGCCCCGCCGCCCCGGCGGGCCCUAAAGUCAGUGGCGGUGCCGUCCGGCUCCGAGCGUAGUAAUUCUUCUCGCUCUGGAGGUCCGGUCGUGUGCUCGCCAGCAACCCCCAAUUUUUUUCAGGUUGACCUCGGAUCAGGUAGGGAUACCCGCUGAACUUAAGCAUAUCAAUAAGCGGAGGA